GCACCGCUGACGAGUCCCAAACGGGAUGAAACAGCUGUCCAGUGC
rfam:Echinostoma caproni strain Egypt genome assembly, scaffold: ECPE_scaffold0012980